rnacentral:lncRNA from 1 species
AAAAGGAUCACUCUUGUGUAUUUUUCAAAAAAUAUAACUUAUACAAAAAUUAGUUCAAAAUACCAAGGGUAUUCCUAAAUUAGAGUCAAUAAUCCCAAUAUAAACAAGAUACUUAACUAUAUAUCAGUUAAGUUCUUCUUGUCUAUAUUUCCAUCAAUGGAUAUUCAUAGAGCAACUGCAACAAACCUGAUCAUACACAUAGUAUAGACAAAAGAAAAGACAAAGAAAAGGGAGCAAGAACCAACUACGGCGACCGCAGCGUGAAAUUACGUAGAGAAAUAACAUUAAAUUGAGACAUCCUGUAACAAAACCAUAAACAAACAAUGUCAAACAUAUGCAAAUGAUGCAUGAAGUUAGUGUUUUAUACAAAAGGAUAUUCACAUCCACAAUUAAUAUAUCUUUCAUGCAAUGCAAUAUGCAAUUCACCAACCAAUCACCACCAAAAUUACAAUACACGAAGGCCAAGAUCCUAGUAGGAAAGCAACCGAGAGUACAGAUAUCCUCAACAACGACAAGUAACAAUAUCAAUUGUUGUCCAAUUACUUCUAUCUGAGGUGCUUACGUAUUAAGCCCAGUCCGUUUCAGGAUUCCUCACAACCGAUCAUCAAAUGUGCAAGGGGUGUCAGAGACUGCUUAGUUUACAUGUAAGACUAUCCUGGUCAUACGAGUAAUGAACUCGAACCCUCACUAGACUAUACCACCUAAGCAAUCACUCAAGGCUUCUUGACGAAUCAUCAUCAUUACCAAGCCUAUUCAAAUCCCAAUGAUAAUUCUAUCAUUGUAUCUUUCAAUUUUCUCCAACUUCAAUUACAAGAAUGCAAUGCAUGUACAAUAAUCAAAGAUAGUCCAUUAAAUCUUUUAAUCAAGGUUUUCCAAUUUUUUAUUUCACAAACAUCACAUAAGUUAGUCGUCUCAAGCCCAAUACAUUUCUAUCAUGCCAAGUCUAAUGGACGAGCUCAAGACGCUAACUUAGUAUCCAAGAUCAUUAAGUAAAGCCCAAUUCUCCCUACACUUUCAAGUGUGUGAAUAUCCAUAGGCUCUUAUCAAAUUCAACCUUUCCAAAAAUACAACCUAAGUUAGUAGUCUCAGCCCUAAUUUCAAACUUGUGUAUUUUCCAAAUCAAUAUAACAACUAACGUAGGUAUUUCUCAUGUUAAUACAAUAUUGAAGUUAUAUAUAUUUUUUGUUUCAAUACCACCAUACAACAAUCAAUAACAUAACCAUUGCAAUUGAAAUAUUUCUGAAUUAUAACCUUGUCACAAACAUUUAGCACAUAAAACAAUAUCAAUUUAUCACAAUACUCACAUACAUACAAACAUAAUUAUGUAACAACCUUUCAUGACGAAGUAAUAACAUAAGCGAGUACCUCUCAUUAUGUUACACACAAAAAUGAAUUCAUACAAAUAUUUUUUUCAGCACAAUCAAAUAAUUAAGACUUUAUACAUUGUCAUGAAAAAGAUUAAGGACUCUUACAUGGAAAUAUGUUUCCAUGACAGUUCUAAAUCUACAAGACUCUCCGACUUUUAAGGGAAUCGGAGAGGAAAAACUUUAAUGAAAUACUCUAAGACCACAAUGGUCUUCUCCCUCACCUGGAUUUAUGUAAGCUCUUUGUCUAGCAAACAAGAUUUAUGUAAGCUCUUUGUCUAGUAAACAAACUAGCUCUUGUGUACUCAUACAUAAGCCAACAACAAAACAGACACCUAAUUAAAGUCUAUUCUACAUCAACAACUAGCAACCAAAUUAAAAUAGAUCAACACUUCAUACUUAAUAAAAGUCACUUAUUUAGAAAUAAUUCAAGUUUGUUUGUAAUAGCUUAAUCUUGAUAUCAUAAGGUUAAGAAAAAAGUGUUAAUUAAGUUCACUUCAACAUAUGGCAAUGUUAAUUAAAAACUUGUGAAAGAAAACAAUGCAAAUAAAGACUCUUAACAAUUCAUCUCACCUAAGCAAAAGAAAGAAAUAAAAGAAAAGAGGACUGCACGUCCAUAGGUAAAAUAAUAAGGCAUAAACAAAAGUGAGAAAAACUUGACAUUGCCUCUUGGAAAAAUUUACAAAAUACCUUUGGUUUUUAAUGCUCUGUGCAUAUGGCCAUGUUAUAAAAAGAAGACAAUAAAAUAGGAGGUUCACAUAACUACUUGGAAACUGAAUUGGAAAUGUGCCUAAUUGCUCUAUUAUUCAAAAAUGUUAAAGAAUGUUGUACUAAGAUAACAUGUGUGUAUUGAUGUCAAUCUCACAAAUACAAUACCUCUUUUAUCUUAUAAGUCUAUCAAAUGUUAGUGUGGCAAAUUAACGAAUUCAAGAAAACGGCACAUACAGUGUCCGCAAGAAUCAAAAGGAAAAGAAAAUAUGGCUUUUGUUCUCUAUUAUCUAACAAGUGACAACUCAUUUUUUUUUAAAGAAAACAAUUGAAAAACAUGGGUUAAGUUUCCCAAUGGAAGAAUGUUCUAAAGGCACUAUGUAUUUUCAAGCAAUAAAAGACAUAAGACUAACAAAAGAAGAUUGAAUAAUAAUAAACCUUGGGAGGAAGAGAUAUGAGGUAUGACAAGUUCUGCACUUAUUGUUUCUCUCUCAGCAGCGGCGGCACAAAGGUUUGAAAGGGAAUACAAAUCUUUUUUUUAAGUGAUAGUACUCAUAGAUAUAGACUAUUUCUAGGUUAACUUGGAAAACACUAUUAAAUUGAUGAUAAUAUUAUAUAUAACAAAAACCAACACACCUCAUUAUAAUAAGGCUAAAGCAAAUACGGAAAAUUUACAGAUGUGGUGUACCUUGACCGAAAAAUUACGAUUUUGGUGCACCUUUUAAAAAAAUUACAAAAUUAGUGUAGUUUUAUACAAAUCGGCAAUGGAAUUGCCGAUUUAUGUAUUUUUUUCUCUCUCCUCCCCCAAAAUCGGCACUGGGGAGGGAGUUUUAUUAAACUAUAUUUUUUUUAAACUCCCCACUAAAUCGUCAAUAGGGGGAGAUUUACCUUUUUUAUUUUUUUCUCCCCUAAAUAGGCAACCAGAGAGCUUUUGAUUUUUUUUUCAACUUGUAGGAGUUAUAUUAUUAGUUUUAGGGUUUAAUUUUUCAAACACAAAUCCUAACAAUACACAACAUAAAAAAUUUUGUCAACCCUAACCCUAAUAACAGAACACAAUAAUGAAAAACACACAUAAUAUUUUAAUUAUCAAUUCAAUGAUCUUAUUAAAAUAUUAUGUGUGUUUUUCAUUAUUGUGUUUUUCAUUAUUGUGUUCUGUUAUUAGGGUUAGGGUUGACAAAAUUUAUUAUGUUGUGUAUUGUUAGGAUUUGUGUUUGAAAUAUUAAACCCUAAAACUAAUAAUAUAACUCCUACAAGUUAAAAAAAAAUCAAAAACUCUCUGGUUACGUAUUUAGGGGAGAAAAAAAAUAAAAAAAAAUAUAAAAGGUAAAUCUCCCCCUCUUGACGAUUUAGGGGGAGUUUAAAAAAAUAUAGUUUAAUAAAACUCCAUCCCCAGUGCCGAUUUUGGGGGAGGAGAGAGGAAAAAAAUACAUAAAUCGGCAAUUUGUAUAAAACUGCACUAGUUUUGUAAUUUUUUUAAAAGGUGCACCAAAACCGUAAUUUUUCGGUUAAGGUGCACCACAUCUGUAAAUUUUCCAAGCAAAUACUAUACAUGUAUCCAUGAAUAGUCUUACAGAGGCAUAACAUGAAAUUUAAUAUCAUUUAAUAUAUAAGAUAUUUUAAUUCAUAAGAUAGGAUUGUCAUAACAAUAAUAAGAUAACCAUUGUUUACUUAGUGCUAAAGGUUAAAUUGAUAAUAAUAUAUGUUAUUAAAAAUAUUUUAAGAUAAACAUAACGACUCAGAUCAAAACAAGAUAAUAUUACCAAAAUAACUAAUAUCAACUAUAUUAUUCGAUAAAUUAUUUAUCUACAGAUAAAUACUCAUAAAAUGUAUUUAAUACAAAUCUACAAUAUAUUACAAGAAUACGUGAAUACCUUAAUAGUCUAAUAAAGUGGAACUUCUAUCCAAAAAUAUGUUUUUGAAACAAAGCUAAUUCUUAGAAGAUAAAAAUUCACUUAACUACAAGAUAACUAAUGAAGUAAGUUAUUUAAUCAUAAACUUAUUAGAUAAACAUUUAAAGAUGUACGACUAAUCUAAAAAUCAUAUUUAUUUUUAGAUAAAUCUACAAAAGUAAAUCAGUUCACUCACAUAUUAAAAGAAUAGAAAAUUGAGGACGUUACAAUCCUUCCCCUAAUAAGAAAUUUCGUCCCCGAAAUUUGUUAGGUUAUUCUAAGGGUAAUAAGAUUUUAUAUGUGUGAUUAGACACAAGAUACACACAAUCAAACACAAACUCCAUCAUAAAAAAAAUUAAGAGAAUUUAGUUGUCAAUCACUAGGGCGAACCACAUACAGGUUGAUACAACAUUGGAAAUUCAAGAACUAACAUUUGAUCAAAUUGAAGAUGUCAAGAUAAGGUUGAUACAAUAUGGGGAAUUCAAGAACUAACAUUUGUUCAAAUUGAAGAUGUCAAGAUACAACAAAAGGAUGUGAAGACACAACUUGAACAAAAUUAUUAUUACGAGUACAAAAUUUACCAAUUAUUUAUUAAGAAAACUAGAUCUCAAGGAUCUAUCAAGACAACAAUAAAUCUAGACUAUUAGAAAAAUUUGAAUUAAAAAUACUAGGAUAUUUUUGUAAUUGUAAUCAAUAUGGAAAGAGAUUAAAUUUUCAUAACUCAUCAUUCACAAGAGUGUAAAAGAUGUUAAUCAAUGUGAGAAUAGUUAAAUGAACACAAACUAGAUAGAAAUAGAAACAUUUCACUUCACACAUGUCAAAUAGUCAUAAAAAAUUCAAGAAAUUUUCAAAUUUACAUUUGUCACAUUACAUUGAGAGAGAAAAGAAAAUAUUCAUCAAAUAAAUAAUCAUCUAGGCAUACAAGGAUUUUUAAAAUUCAAAGAGCAAAACAAAACGGUCAUAAGUUACCAAUUCAAGAUUACAUUCCCAUAUUUAAAAUAGGAUGUGAUAGAAGGAAUUUUGAUAUCUUAUAUAUUCAAUUUGAGACAUAAUGACAACAUACCAUACCAAAAAUAUAGAUUUCAUUAUCAUGAUAAUUGAAUAUUCAUAAAUAUCAUUAGAAUGACAUGCAGUAAAUACAAACAACGAAAGUACAAUUUGAAAAGACAAUUUUAGAACUCAAAUACCUAUAUCAAGUUUAAAAAUGAAAUUCUAGAAUAUACUCAAAGAAUUAUACAAAAUUGUUCUUAUCUUAGACACAAUUAUCUGCAAAAAGGCUUGGAAUUCUCAAUAUCAAACAAAACUAAUGUUGAGUGGAAUACUACAAUUCAACCAAGGGGACUUUUGAAAAUUGAUUAGAUAGAAGACCUAUCUCAAUCACCUUAUAAGAGUAAGGGGUUAAACACAUUUAAUUCAUAAAUGAAAUUUUUUUUAAACGAUCAAAAACAAUUAAUCAUGCAUGAAAUGGAUGUGAAGGCGUAGACCACAAGGUUUACAAGAGACUAAUUGGUUCAAAAGUUACAUACUAACCAUAAGAAUAAGAUUCUUAAACUUUAUUACAUAUAGAUAUAUAUGUAUAAAAUCUCUCAAUUAUAUAUAUAAAUAUAUAGAAGAUGUUGAUGCACAUAAGAAAAACUGAAAGUACAGUACCUAUCCAUAUGUUAAUAUACGUUACAAUUAUAUUAGAUAGUGUUAAUAUUCAAUUUUAAAAUAUUAAUUAAUAUAGAAGAUAUAACAAAAUGUGCAAAGGUAGUAUCAAUAAUUUAGCUAAUUUAAUUACCAUUACUUAUGGAGAGGAUGUAAACAAAAUUAUUUUAGCAAUAUCUCACUAAAACUAAAGUGGCACCAUAGCAAAAGUUCAUUAUUGCAGCUUGGACAUAUAUACAUAUCUAAAAGGCACAAACAUAUUUUUUCCCUAUCAUUAUACCUUUAUUAUCAUAUUUCUUAUAAUGAAUCAAUUUUGGUUACCAAGGGUUUAGAAAGUCACUUCGAAGUAUGAUCAUAUAUAAAAAUUCCACUUUUAUACAAACAUACUCUUCAGGUGGCGUGUAAGUACCUUAACCCAAUACAAUCCAUACUUUAAACUAGAAAUCUAAUUUUAUUAUAAAUAUAUAAAACUUGUGCAAGCAAUAAAGGUUCAAUUUUGGCAACUCAUGAAAACAAAGAUACAAGACGUUGCCUCCUCAAAAUACAUCAUGUACCUUUCUUUUUCUUGUUUUUUUUUUGUAAUUUCCUUUUUGCUUUACUAACACAAUAUUUCAAAACCAUUAAAGAAUUAUUAGUAACAUUCUAUAAACAAUAUUCAUUUACAUGUUAAUAUCACUCAAUUAAAUUACUUAUUCUAUUAUUAGAAUGAUACUAAAUUUAUUGUUCCAGAAUUCAUGCCUCUAUGAUAAAAUGGAAGGACAACAUCAAUCAAUUUAAAAUAGAUAUAUUACAAUUACACUAUAGAACAAGUUGUACACAAGCUUAUCAUAUAAAUUCAAUUACUAAAUUUUUAUAUAUUACAAGAAAACAUAUGCUAAAGAAGUAAUCAAUAUGUACAAAUUUAUUUCAAGGAAAAGAAGGUAGAGCAUGUGAUAGAAAACCUUCACAAAAGAAAUACAUACUAUAUAAUAAAGAGGUGGAAUUAGCCAAAAAAAGAAAAUUAAUAACAAAGUAAAACUCCACAUCACAAGAUUAUGCAUGUGUUUUAGCCAUAGGAAGGACAAAAUGAUUAAAUAAAUAUUUCAACCAGGAACGUUUAUGACCGUAAACAUCACAACACACAUGGGAUUUAAUGAUAUAUAUAUAAAAUAAAUACUUUGAUCCAGAACACCAAAUGACAAUGCAAGAGAGAGAACCAGACUAAGAAGUGAAAUAGCUCCAGUGAACACAAAAUAAAAAAAGAGCCACACACAAAAAGUUAUCAUAUGCUAAUCCAUCACAUGUCCAAUGAUCAUGACGAGAAAAUCCUCAUAAAUUUAAGUCGUUACUUAAUCUUUCACAAACAAUUGUCACUUUCAUUACAAAAAGACAUUACCUCAUUGGGUGAGGUUGAAAUCAUAACAAAACACGUAAACAAUCACACCAGAGUAACACAGAGAAAGGGUAUAUGAGGCCAUACCCCAAGCCAGAUAGGAAGGACCAGCUCUGAUACCACUAUUUUAACAUCCCGUUUUUUUACAACUUAGAAAUUAAGACUUCAUUACAAAAAUAUGAUAAAAAUUUAAAUAAAAUUAAAGGCAACCUGUUAGAAAAUCAGAGUGAAUAUAAACAAAAAUUCAUUAACAUGUUCAAGAUGCGGAAAUGUUCAAUAUUAUCAUUACCCAAAAAUGAUGUAUCACAUUCAACCUCAAAACCAUAAUUUAUAUAAUUAUCUAUUUGUUUAAGUAUGUAGCUUUACAAAAUUAUUAAAUUAAUCUUAGCAUAAUGAUUAUAAAAAACAUCUUGUAUGCAAAAAGGAUCACUCUUAAGUAUUUUUCAUAAAAUAUAACUUAUACAAAAAUUAAUUCAAAAGACCAAGGCUAUUCCUAAAUCAGAGCCAAUAAUCUCAAUAUAAACAAGAUACUUAACUAUAUAUCAGCUAAGUUCUUCUUGUCUAUAUUUCCAUCAAUGGAUAUCCAUAGAGCAACUGUAACAAACCUGAACAUACACAUAGUAUACACAAAAAAAGACAAAGAAAAGGGAGUAAGAACCAAUUAUGGCGACCACAACGUGGAAUUACAUAGAGAAAUAACAUUAAAAUGAGACACCCUAUAACAACACCAUAAACAAACAAUGUCAAACAUAUGCAAAUAAUUCAUGAAGUUAAUGUCUUAUAUAAGAGGAUAUUCACAUCCACAAUUAAUAUAUCUGUUAUGCAAUGCAAUAUGCAAUUCACCAACCAAUCACCACCAAAAUUACAAUACCCGAAGGCCAAGAACCUAGUGGGAAAGCAACUGGGAGUACAGAUAUCUUUAACAAUGGCAAAUAACAAUAUCAAUUGUUUUUCAAUUACCUCUAUCUGAGGUGCUUACGUGGUAAGCUAGUCCGUUUUAGGAUUCCUCUCUACUGAUCAUGAAAUGUGCAAGGGGUGUCAGAGACUACUUAGUUUGCAUGUAAGACUAUCCUAGUCAUACGGGUAAUGAAUCCGGACCCUCACUAGACUAUCCCACCUAAGCAAUCCCUCAAGGCUUCUUGAUGAAUCACCGUCAUUGUCGUCCCUAUCCAAAUCUUAAUGAUAUUUCUAUCAUCGUAUCUGUCCAUUUUCUCCAACUCCAACUACAAAAAUGCAAUGCAUGUACAAUAAUCGAAGUUAGUCCAUUGAAUCUUUUAAUCAAUAUUUUCCAAUUUUUUAUUCUCACCUAAGUUAGUCAUCUCAGCCCCAAUGCAUUUCUAUCAUGCCAAGUCCAAUGGACGAGCUCAAGAUGCUAACUUAGUAUCCAAGAUCAUUAAGUAAAGCCCCAAUUCUCCCUACACUUUCAAGUGUGUGAAUAUCCAUAGGCUCUUAUCAAAUUCAACCUUUCCAAAAAUACAACCUAAGUUAGUAGUCUCAGCCCCAAUUUCAAACUUGUGUAUUUUUCAAAUCAAUAUAACAACUAACGUAGGUAUUUCCCAUAUUAAUACAAUAAUUAAGUUAUAUAUAUUUUUUGUUUCAAUACCACCAUACAACAAUCAAUAACAUAACAAUUGCAAUUGAGAUAUUUCUGAAUUAUAACCUUAUCACAAACAUUUAGCACAUAAAACAAUUAUCAAUUUAUCACAAUACUCAAAUACAUACAAACAUAAUUAUUUAACAACCUUUCAUGACGAAGUAAUAACAUAAGCGAGUACCUCGCAUUAUGUUACACACAAAAAUGAAUUCAUACAGAUAUUUUUUUUCAGCACAAUGAAAUAAUUAAGACUCUAAACAUUGUCAUAAAAAAUAUUAAGGACUCUUACAUGGAAAUAUGUUUCCACGAGAUUUCCUAAUCUACAAGACUCUCCGACUUUUGAUGGAACCGGAGAGGAAAAACUUUAAUGAAAUACUCUAAGACCACAUUGGUAUUCUCCCUGGAUUUAUGUAAGCUCUUUGUCUAGCAAACAAACUAGCUCUUGUGUACUCUCCUUCAACUUCGGGAUCUACUCUCAUACAUAAGCCAACAACAAAACAGACACCUAAUUAAAGUCUAUUCUACAUCAACAACUAGCAACCAAAUUAAAAUAGAUCAACACUUCAUACUUAAUAAAAGUCACUUAUUU